CAGAGACUCCCUUUACGCCAUGUUUCCUUCAGAGGCUCGGAUGCGGGUCCAGCAAGCAGCGAGGAUGCAAAGAGCAGAGCCCAUCUCCUAGGAGCCGGCCCUGUCCCGCGCUGCAGCCCGGCCCCCGGGAGGCCCUGGAUCCCGCCGCCUCCCAGAUGCCUGCAGAGGGCGUCCGUGUCCGCAGAGCCAGCCCGCGGCCUACCCAGCCGUGCGGGAGGUGGCUGCUUGGCUGCUCCCGUUAGGUGGCUGAACUCGCCAGCCAGACGGCAUUCAGAAUACGGAAGCAGAAAGAUCUGCAGGCGGCUGCGUACCCUGGCUGUGAAUUAUUAUUCCGAGCACAUGGCUGUUGUAAAAUUACACUAUCUGCUUAUGUAGGAAGGGAGAAACGCAGUCAUUAUUUAUGUGGCUCAAUGAUCCCGUUUACGUGUGUCCACUGCUCCCUGGCUCUGCGUGCACCGUGCUUAGAGAAGGAGGCUGAAAGAACUCCAAAAGCCUGGAGAAGAGAAGGCUGUGAGAAGGAUCAAAUGAAAACAACGGAUUUGCUUUCAGAUAUAUGUCCCUGUUUAAAUCAGUUACUCAGGCUUUAUAAGUGUUUGAGAUUGCCAAAAUUACAUCCCAACUUCAUGAAAGCUUAUUUAAUUAUCACUUCCGUAAGCUGAUAGUACAUUUUAAGGACAACAUACUAUUCCAGCCAGCUAAGAAAAAGAGAGAGGUGGAUCUUGGAUGUAAUGAUGCAUGGAGGAGGUACUUCUGGGACAUCUGAACUCCAAGGAAGAGCAAUAAAAAGGAGUUUCAGAAUUGCCAUUGAACUGUGACUCUCAAUAGCUCAUCUGAAUGAUGCUUCAAGAUCAUCUUCAUUUACUUACUUAGAGAAGGUGUUUGAGUCCAUGAGUCCACGCACAUGCUGGGUCUACACAUGGGACAUCCUAAUAUAUUUUGAACUCUAUGAGAAUUGGAAGAGAUAGCUUGUUGGCAAAAACUUGAUUACUGGAUUGUUUUAAAAGUGGAAUAAAUUAACUCUUAUGUUGAAUUGAAUUACGUUGACUUACUUACUUUUUAGAAAUCUGCUCAGAUCAAACCAAGGAGGGCUGAAAACUUCAUGGAAUCACAGAAUCCUAGGGGUUGAAAGGGACCUCGGAAGAUCUUCUGGCUCCUACACAUAGCAAUAGUGGGAUGGGGGAGAGAAGUGACUGAAUGACUGUGUGGUGCUGAGCCACCUGCUGGGUUAAACCACAACAGUUGAUUUGAUGCCCAAUGUUGUGCUUAUCAUGGGGAUUGGAGUGACCACAGGACUGGUUGUGAGAGCUGCAACACCUACAGGACUUGUCAGAAGUAUUAGAGUAACCACAGGAUCUGUCAAAAAAGUGAGAGCAGCUGCAGGGUCCAUCACAGGAGCUGGAGGAACCACAGGACUUGUCACAGAGUUUGGAGCAGUCAAGGGCUUGUUGCAGGAGUUGGAGAGUCCAUUACAUUGUCAUCAGAUCCAGAAGUAUUCUCUUCCUGUUGAGAAUGCUGAAUAAUGUUGAACGGAGCUUGACAGGCAUAGGCCUGACCCCAGCAUGCUGCAAUGAUUUGUGCCUCUUUAGGAUUGCCACAGCAACAGCAGACCUUUUGCAAAUAUUCUACUAGUUUUUCAGAAUUUUGCAGUUGUUCCAAGGUGAAGUUCCAAACCACUGGGGGUGCCCACCACUCUAGGCACCUGCCCAUACUAUCCCAUACUCCCUACUACUCAGAACAAUCCUGCCUCGGGGCAGAUCUCUGGAUGAUAUUCGUAACUAAUUGUUUAAUCUUAAACAUGACCUGGGACACAUUUACAUCACAUAGUGAUAGUGGCAUGUUGGCUUGAGCAUCUCAGAGAUAUUCAAAAUUCUUAAGAGCUAUUGCAAUUAGCUUUUGAGCUCUAUGGAAAGAAGGAAAGGCGAAAGAAAGGCUGAUGGACUGCUGGAAAGUGUCCUCCUCUAUCUCCUCAUUAGCCAGCCUCUCUGAGGAGACAAUGCAAGAGGUGUAAUUACUAAUAGUAUCAACAAUAUGGCUUCCAAAACCCAAAGGUGACUGCUAUGCCAAAUGCACACAAAACACUUUCUCAGCUGUCAAUUUUAUCAUAAUAUAAGCUAAUACCACACACAGCAUAGAAAAUAAAAACCUUAAUCCAACCCCCAUAAUGGACAAACAAACAGCAAGCUAGGUACUACGAAGUAUAGUUAAGACUCUCAAAUUGCUCUGUAAAUAUGGAAAAAAUCAACCUCAACAUCGUGAGCAGCAAUUAUCAAACUACCACAACACCCUGUGUUAACACAGUCCGCUCAGGUCUGCUGUUAUCUCAACCCUCUGCCCCACUUUGGGCAGCAAAUUGACUAUUGUGGUUUAACUGGCAGGUGGCUCAGCACCGCACAGUUGUUUGCUCACUCCUCUCGCACAAACUUUGUGGAGCUGAGCCACCUGCUAGGCUAUACCACAAAAUUGACUUUAUUCAUCCUCAUAUUACAUAGUCAUAGUAAUAAAGAAUUGGUCAAAUAAGACUGUAGAGGAGUUACAAUUUCACUGGACUGACUUAUCCCUAAAAUGAAUAAAUAUUUAAAUCUGAGCAAUCAUAUGGCAACCACACACAUUAGAUGUUUAUUGCCCAGUGCUAGCCUUGUAGUCACACCAUUUGUCUUCUUCUAUUUUCCUUUGUAGAUUAUUUGAUGAUGUUGUUUUCAGUUCACUUCAUAUGGCUCUUUUUUUACUCCUCACAAAUUGCUGGAGACUAAUGGGACAAUUCUUCAGCAAUUACACUGAAACGAUCACAGAAAUGCCCUGGUUCUAUUUCACGUUUCGAUACGUGGGAGCACUGCAUGCUAUCUUGUCCCUUGAAUUUCCUGUAUAUUAAACCUUAAGAAAGAUAUUAAUCAGCACCGAGUAAGACUACUGACACUGAUGAAUUCCUUUUUAAUUGUUCAGUGUAUAGUCCAGACAGGGCAUCAGUGCAUCAACCAGGCAAGCCAGAUGAGAUCUGAAUCACAGAGGGUCUAGGAUGCUGGCAAUCAGUCUACUCACACUGUUCCUGCUGUUUCCUAAUUCCUCAGCUUGUGUGGUAGAGAAGCAGAACUCAGCACUUGCACUCCUCACUUGGUACUCCAAAUGCAGGUCCCACAGGGGUCUUUCUGCAGCUAUAGUUUACAGAAACAUGUGCACAGUGCACAGUACGCAUCACUGUUGUCAGAGGUGACAAGAGCAAUUUUUGCAGUUAUACUUCAUUUAUAGCCCUGCUAUAUAUAUACAUUUGAUUCUUGUAUGUGGAGAACAAAGCCUUCUAGGCUUAAAUAUUUCAGUACUUGUAAGACCCUAGGCAAAUAGUCUGGUGGUAACAGACAAGUACAAGAAAAUAUUUCUUGGAGGUAUCUAAGAGAACUCAAGUGCAGCAUCCCUUUAGAGAUCCAACUUUCCUUUAUAGUUCUGUAAUCUUCUGCAAAACAAUCUUUUUUCUCUGUACAGAAAGCCAGUUUUAUCGCUGUAUAUCUUAUGGAAACAACUACCUAAAUAAAUCAGUAUCUUUUAUUAAGAAAGAACUCUUGAAAGUGUUUGUAAUGGAGCGGUUCAGAUUGCUUUUUCUUAAUGUAUUUGGUUCCAUUCUUUGCCUUCAGCAAUUGCCUAUCACAAAGCUCCAUGUGGAGAUAGAAAUCAAACCAGCAGAGGAAAUAACUGAAUAAGAAUGAAGUUGUUUGUGGAUCUCCUUUCAUAUUGUGUGAAAUUCACUGAUGUAUACUUUUUGAGAUGAGAAUAGUAUCUCCCCUUCUGCAGUCUUUCUUGUAAAACGUUGAAUAAACUGGAGGCACCAAUAAAUAAAUGGUGAAAUUACCUAAUGCAACCACACUGACACGAGUAUUCCUGUUUGUGGACGGUUAUUUACAUUGGUAUUUCCAGCUAAUUUACUAAAAAUUCUGGACUAAGGAAUUAUCUGCUCACAGAGAUAAAGUGUGUGGGUUACCAAGCCAAUGUUUACUCUCAUCUCUUGGUUUCACUGUUCUUGGAAUUGGAUGUGUUGGGAAGUUACAACUUACAUGAGUAUGUGUAGAUGUUGUUACUAGAUUCGAAGGUCAAAAGUGCCUAAGAGGUUCCUACAUUUAGAUACAGAAUUUGUAUUGUCUUAGGCUGGAUAAUUGUACUUUGCUAUCUUAGCUACUUAGACAAUUAAAAAAAUAUUAUUGAGUAUUUCUUUCAUUUUUUAAAUCUCUUUCAUUUUUCCACAACAGUUUUGGUUCUUUUUU
ensembl:lncRNA